UUUAGCCAAAAACACUAUCAAGUUUAAAAUAAGCCUGUUCGCCAGAGAACUACUAGCCACAGCUUAAAACUCAAAGGACUUGGUGGUGCUUUAUAUCCAUCUAGAGAAGCUUUUUCUGUAAUCAAUAAACCCUGAUAUACCUCACCAUUUCUUGCUAAUUCAGUCUAUAUACCACCAUCUUCAGCAAACCCUAAAAAGGCACACAAGUAAGCCCAAUUAUAUUAUAUAAAAAAGUUAGGUCGAGGUGUAACUCAUGAAAUGGGCUACAUUUUCUGGUCCAGAACAUACGAAACCUUGUCUGAAAUGGACAAGAUAAAGGAGGAUUUAGCGGUAAACUAAAAAUAGAGUGUUUAGUUGAAUAGAGCAGUGAAGCACACACACACCGCCCGUCUCCCUCCUCAAUAUUCGAUAAAGAUAAGUAUAUAACUUUUAACUACAAGAAUUAAGAGGAGAUGAGUUGUAAAAAGGUAAGUG